CUACCGACAUCGGGAGGUGUCGGGAUGGGUAUGUAGAAGUCAGCCGAAGCCGUAGUAGUGAUGGGAAACCGCCAGCAUGAAGGGC
rfam:Pantoea sp. PSNIH2 plasmid pPSP-100, complete sequence.